ACCAGACAAAUCAUCCGAAGUCGGACGGCUAGACCAACUCACCAGGACAGACAUAAAGCAAAGACUACGAAUUCUAUCGUAAAGCGGCGUAAUGAUGCGUAAUCGGAAUCUGGCGUAUUAUCGAUAUGAAUGAGUGUUCUGUAAGCAGACAUAAAUAAGCAGUCAUGCCGCAAAUGUGUUUUUUGCGCCUUUUAAACUGUUAAGUUUCAUUUCAAAGAACUUGAAAAUCACAUGAACUGUAAAAUGCCUCGGACACCAGAAACAAACGCUAUUGGACAAACCUACAAAUUAGUAGUUGUAGGUGGUGGUGGGGUUGGUAAAAGCGCAUUAACCAUUCGCUUUAUACAGUCUUACUUUGUCACAGAUUAUGACCCUACUAUUGAAGAUUCUUAUACUAAGCAGUGUGUCAUAGAUGGACAAGUUGCACGCUUAGAUAUCUUAGACACAGCAGGUCAGGAGGAGUUCAGUGCUAUGAGAGAACAGUAUAUGAGGUCUGGAGAAGGAUUUCUAUUGGUGUUUUCAGUUACUGAUAGUAACAGUCUUGAUGAAAUGUACAAGUUUCAUAAACAGAUUCUUAGAGUAAAAGACCGUGAUGAAUUUCCUAUGUUAUUAGUAGCUAAUAAAUGUGAUUUGGAAUCUCAGCGUGUGGUUCCUCCAAAUGAAAUUCACCAAAGAGCCCAGCAGCUAAAAAUUCCUUACGUUGAAUGUAGUGCUAUGCUUGGACGAAAUGUUGAAACUGCAUUUUAUGAGCUUGUCAGGCAAGUGAGGUGUUCUUGAGAUGUUGCUAGACAGUGCUGUUGAACAAAGGAAUGCUAUACAGUAGAUUUGUCACAAAUUACAAUCAGGACCAUGGCUUUGAAAGAAAUUUCAAGCAGCUGAGAGACCACCAAUAAAGCCAUCCAAGUCAAAACCACGUAGGAAGUGCGUCAUUCUUUGAUGCUUGCUCAGUUUCUUAAUCUGUGUGAAGACUUUGUUAUAAAUAUACACAUACACAUGAAGAACAGAGGAAGAAUCAUGCUGAAGAAUUUCUUUUUGAGGUGUUCAUUUUAAUUUGCCAGUGUUUAUACCUUGGCUGAACUGACUAAGCAACUGUUACAGUUUUGUAUCAUUUCUACUUAAAUUUAUUAUUUACAAAUGUUGUAUAUUAUCUCUGUUAUGAUCAUGGAACAUUAUGAUUGGCCAGUUCCACCUCAUAUAGGCUGUUUUUAACGUGAAACUUUCUUAUAUUGUGGAAGUUUUGAACUGUGGAAACUUCAUAUUGCAGUCGUGUAAAAUUUUCACUUAUUUAAUUGAUGAGUGUUGAUUCAUAUCAGUGUAUAUCAAUUGUGAUUAUUUUUUAUCCAUAGCACUAUAUUUAUUUUUAGCUCUCAUCUUCGUCUAUUGUUUAUUUUAGCAUUUAAAUUAGUUUUUAUCUAGAGAUUGCUAUUAAUUUUACAUACAGUAUUAUAUGCUUAUUUUAUUCAUCAUGUAUAAUUGUUCCGAAUCCUGAAAUUCAAUAAGCGCAAGAGAUGUAUGUGUAUAGUCAGGCUGUAAUUUGCCUUUAGUCAUGUUUUUAAAUUGUUUGACUAUUUUCUUGCAUCACCAACUCUUUGUAUGUGAAUUGAAAGGAAAUUGAAGACCUGUUACUGUUAUUUUGCUAUUUUACAACACUUUCUUUUCUAAAUGACAGAUUUGCUGUUAUUUUCACAUUGUAAUAAAUUUAUAAUAAACAAUCAGAGUGUCUUUUUA